rnacentral:misc_RNA from 1 species
UGCUCAUCAUUUCUCUGUAUCUUUUAACAAUCAAGACUCUUCUCUUCUCUUCAAUAUCUUCCCCUCCCCAUCAGCUUGUUAUCUUUGUUUUUGGGAAUUUUUUGAGUUCGAGGAAGAUGGGUAGACAACCUUGCUGUGACAAAGUUGGGUUGAAGAAGGGUCCAUGGACAGCAGAGGAGGAUAAGAAACUCAUGAACUUCAUCCUCAACAAUGGCCAAUGCUGCUGGAGAGCUGUUCCUAAGCUUGCAGGAUUGUUAAGGUGUGGGAAGAGCUGCAGGCUGAGAUGGACUAACUAUUUAAGGCCAGAUUUGAAGAGGGGUCUUUUAUCAGAAUAUGAAGAGAAAAUGGUCAUUGAUCUCCAUGCUCAACUUGGCAACAGAUGGUCCAAGAUUGCGUCUCAUUUACCUGGAAGAACUGAUAAUGAAAUCAAGAAUCACUGGAAUACGCACAUCAAGAAAAAGCUUAGAAAAAUGGGCAUUGAUCCUCUCACCCACAAGCCACUUCCUACCACUGAAACACCACCACCUCAAGAACAACAAGAAGUGCAAGAACAGCAACAAGCACAAUCUUGCUCCACUAACGCCAUGGCAGAACUGGAACACAAGAAGGAAACAGAAACAUCUAUUCAAUCAAGCAUUACCGAAGAAGCCAAGGUAGAGGAAGAUAAAAGCAUGAUAAGCACAUUUGAUACAAUGGAGUUAAUGAAUAAUGGUUUUUGCAUAGAUGAAGUUCCCUUAAUUGAACCCCAUGAAAUGUUGGUCCCCUGUGCACCUUCUUCUUCAUCAACGACAACUUCUUCGCCUUCAUCAUCUUCCCAUGGCUCGAACAAUAACUUUCUUGAAGAUUUUCAAUUCUCAGAUUUUGAGUGGCCUGUUAAUGAUACUGAUUUGUGGGGUGAUGACUUAAGUAGUUGUUGGGAUUUGCUAAUCAAUGAUGCCGAUUAUGAUAGAAAGCAAGUAGCUGCUAUUAAUCAUAAUCCUCCACCUAUCAAUCAGUGCCCAAGAAUGGUUUUGGAUCAAGAUUCUUGGACGUAUGGGAUCCUGUAAUUUAAAUAAAAGAAAAAGAGAAACAGAAAAAUGAACCGACCCCUCUUGUGGGGCUUACUUGUAGCUUGUUUGUUAGUUGCUACAGAGAAGAUAAUAAAUCAAGAAUAUAGGGAAAUCCCAUCUUUGAUUUACCUUUCUUCUCUUUUCUUUACUCGUUUAGAGGGAGAAAAAUAAAAUAAAAGUGAAAAUGAAAACUUUUGUAUGUCAAAAAAUUUUUUUU